CGGACCGUCGCGGGUGAGCUGGACUGCAGAUGAGUAUCCCGGCAUGCAGUGGCAAGGUGUCCUUUCGUCUCCACAGAGAUGUCCCACGUCAUCUUCUCCCCCAGUGUCAGCUGAGAGGGUCCUGAGCCAGGCUUUCUCGUGUCUCUUCUCUUAUCGCCCCCCUCACCCCCCAAUGCUUUGUCGUGGUUACAGAUGCCAACUAUUAGGCCUCAGAUCUUUCUGGAUUAAAGCUGUCAGUGUGUUCUUCCGU